rnacentral:rRNA from 1 species
GAGUUUGAUCAUGGCUCAGGAUGAACGCUGGCGGUCUGCUUAACACAUGCAAGUCGAACGGAACUCUUCGGAGUUUAGUGGCGGACGGGUGAGUAACGCGUGAGAAUCUGCCCUUAGGUUGGGGACAACAGCUGGAAACGGCUGCUAAUACCCAAUGUGCCGAGAGGUAAAAGCUUAAUGUGCCUGAGGAUGAGUUCGCGUCUGAUUAGCUAGUUGGAGUGGUAACGGCACACCAAGGCGACGAUCAGUAGCUGGUCUGAGAGGACGAUCAGCCACACUGGGACUGAGACACGGCCCAGACUCCUACGGGAGGCAGCAGUGGGGAAUUUUCCGCAAUGGGCGCAAGCCUGACGGAGCAAGACCGCGUGGGGGAAGAAGGUUUGUGGAUUGUAAACCCCUUUUGAUUGGGAAGAACACAAUGACGGUACCAAUCGAAUCAGCAUCGGCUAACUCCGUGCCAGCAGCCGCGGUAAUACGGAGGAUGCAAGCGUUAUCCGGAAUUAUUGGGCGUAAAGCGUCCGUAGGUGGCAUUGCAAGUCAGUUGUUAAAGCGCGGGGCUUAACCCCGUAAAGGCAAUUGAAACUGCGAAGCUAGAGUGCGAUAGGGGCAAGGGGAAUUCCCAGUGUAGCGGUGAAAUGCGUAGAUAUUGGGAAGAACACCAGCGGCGAAAGCGCGUGACUGGGCCCUGAACUGACACUCAUGGACGAAAGCUAGGGGAGCGAAAGGGAUUAGAU